UUUUUUUUUUUUCUUUUUUUUUACAGUGAUCUUUGACUCUCUCCGUAACGUUAUGCAAUGAUUACUCAUCCGUGUCCUUUCAAUUGACAUUUCAUUCGCGCGUCAUUUUGUUACAGUUUUCUAUGUAUGUACGACGUUGAUGCGUUACUUUAUUUCGUCGAUGCGUUGCACAUUUCACGAUCGAUCGGAUCGAAUAGAAAAGAAGAAAUCGUUCCAAAUCACAUGUACAUUGCUCGUAAUGACGUUCGAACGAAGAGUCAGAGACAGGCUUGCCUAAACGGUUCGUCUACGCUCGAUUCUAUAAGACUAGAUUGGCUGUUGACGUGUAAAUAUAUUCCAUUAUUUUUCCACGUUCUUACAUACGAAAAAGUCUGUUACGAUUGUAAGCGUAAGGUUCCUAGAUGUAACAGCUGUUUUCCUCAUUUUCUAUCGUUUCGAUCGACGACCAGUUCGACGGCGAGUCUGUGUCUGCACCACACGUUCCGACAGAUUAAGGGAACAGCUUGAAAAAAAAAAAAGAAGAAAAUCGUUCCAACAGGGUCGAAACCGAACGUUCGAGUUCUACAGAUUCUCAACGUUGUGAGCAAACGCAUGAGGAAAAGCGGCUGGCCCAAAAUGCCAGUGACGUGAAAACGGUGACGGCCGAAACAGGCCAAUUUCGAACGUGUUCGGAUGGACAGCCGCUGGCAAACUUGAUCCACAACUUCAAUACGAUAUUCACAGCUAGAUAUAUCCACGUUUCUCGUUUUCACGCUGUUAAUACAAUACUCGACAGUCAAUCGAAUCUCUAAUCAAUUAGAGUUAACCUCGUAACGGUAGUCAAUAAUAAAAAAAAAAAAAAAAAAACAAAAAGAGAAUGAUCUAUAUGAUUAUCGGAGCGCGUCGUUCUUCGUCACGGCAACGAAUUUCUCGGGGAAAAAAAAAAAGAAAACCAGAGCGUUCCAUCUGAGACGAACGUAUUUUGGUACAUUUUGGUGUCAUUGAUAUAUUUCGAAUCGAAACAUUGAUAACAUGAAAAAAAAAAAAGAAAAAAAAUGAAGCGAGCGAUUGAUCGUUGAGGUCGUUCUUUGAGUUGUUUCUUCCUUUUUUUUCUUUUUUUUUUUUUUUCUUUCAAACAAUUACUCGACUGCAGAUUUUCAUUCAUUCGAAGAGAGAUGUUUAAAGAUGCACGAAAGUACAGAAUUAAAAUAGAACUAUCGAAUACAGUAUGUGGUUGUUAUAAUGUUCAUCAGGUGAAAAGAAAUUUUUCUUUUAAUUGCAAAAGUUGAAAGAAAGAACGUACAAGAAUUUAUAAAUGUCCGUUUAGGAACGAUUUAAGUCAUCGUUGGUAUCGUAUUCGUAAAGCGUCGUAAAUGUCUGCGGAUUUUAUAUAUUUUCGAAAUUUCGUUUCUCUCGGCGAUCGACGGUGUUAACUCGAUCGGGGCGUGUAUCAUGAAAAUUCAUUGCUGUCUCGAAGAACGUUCUCAGCGUUGAAAAAGUAUUCGAAAACAGCACGACUUCCUCGAUUUGUUUUCUUGUCGAGUUCGUGGACAAGAGAACACACGGUAACAUGGAGUUAAUUGUUCGAUGUUUUAAAGAAAAAAAAGGAAAGAAAAGAAAAAAAAGAAGGAGAAGAAGAAGAAGAAGAAGAAGAGGAGGAGGAAGGAGAAAAAAGAAGAAGAAAAGGGGAGAAUGUAGGAUGUGGCAAACCGCAGAACUGAUGAAUAAGCGAAUACAAAUUAAAGUUAGAUCGUCGCCGUAGUGUUAAACUUAAACUAAAGCAGAAAAAAAAUUUACAAAAGCAAAAAAAAGGUACGAAAGGUAAAAGAAAAAAAAAAAGAAAAAAAAUGGUGUAAUUAUUAACGAUAUUAACGGUAAACAAGCAGUCGACGCUAUUUUUUAGAUACGUAAACGAGUUAAGCCAGGACCCAGGACGAUCAUGCCUCGGUCUCGCCCGGUGAAAAUUAGUUUUUUUUCUUUUUUUUUCAUUCCCCCUUGUUCAACGUCGUGACGGACGUAUAAUUUUUUAUUGGCUGUGCGCUCGAACUUCGAGCCGAGUUAUAAUCGAAGCGUCGUGCACGUGCACGACGAUUAAACCUGGGUUAAAAUCACCACGACACGGAACAUUGAAAAUCACUUUUACGUAAGUACGAACGACUGAUCGUUCGAUUCAAGCAAGCUAUCCAGCCAUCUAUUAAUUUCCUCGUUUUCACGGAUCUGUUUAGUCACUCGUCGAUUUGCGUCGUACGCAGUACCAAAGAACUAUUAUCUAACAGGUAUACAGAGCCCUGGUGAAACUUAUCGCUUCAUAGCCGUACUAAUGUUAGCUAAACGAACAAACGAGUCGAAUGAACUAGGAAUGUAGAGAAAACAGAACGAAAAACCGCGGUGAAAAUUCGUUCUCCUUGUUCCCUCUCGUUAACAGGAGAGAGGCCGAUCGCUAUUUCGAUUCGUCGCGUUAUUAUUAAAUGUUUAGGAGACUCUAAAGAGGACCAAAGUACUUAAACGUAACUACGCCGAAGCCGCGGCACCCUUAAACGCAGCGAUAGAACAUAAAUCAAUGUCGUCUUUUCGCCGGUUGUCAAUAAGCAAGCGAACCAAGAGUACCAAACGAGAGGGAGAGAAAGUGAGCGAGUGAGUGAACAAAGAAAAGAAUAAUCGGAGAUCCGCAAUUUUCCACAUUCAUAGAUACAUUUUACUCUCUGUUUCCGUAGAUGUUCUUUUAUUUUUUCUAGAAAUAAAUAUUGUACAAUUUGUUAUAUACUGUAAUGAUCGUUAAUAAUAUUUUAUAUUAAUCGCUUAACAAUUUAAUUUCCAAAAGAAUUCCUUACAGACACAAUAAAAAUACAGUACGUUCACGAUGUCACAAGGAUAAAAAGAUUUGUUCCUAGAGUCAUGACUUUUAUUGACAAAAAGAGACCUUCAUCGUAUCGAAGCAUUUUCAAUCUUACCAAGAACAUUGCCAUAAACUAUUAUACCUUCAUAUACGAAGAAUGCAAGUAGAACAAUUUUCAUUUUUUUCAUCAGUUCGUCUUUCUCUUAUCGGAUAAUUGUUAUUUUAAUAUACAUGCGUUAUAUUUUAUUGGAUUAUCAUUACCACGGAAAUUCCGCCAAAAUGGAACCCAACAAUUAGCGAUAAAAAAAAACAAUAACAUACCAAAAUUAUCAAUGUACUUAAAAUAUUUAAGGAUAAAAACAGUUUAAUUGCACUACAUUUGUAAACUUUAUUAAUUAUACGUUGCAAAAAAAUGA